rnacentral:rRNA from 1 species
AAACCAGCACCUCAAGUGGUCAGGAGGAUUAUUGGGCCUAAAGCAUCCGUAGCCUGCUGCAUAAGUUUUCGGUUAAAUCCAUACGCUCAACGUAUGGGCUGCCGGGAAUACUGUGCAGCUAGGGAGUGGGAGAGGUAGACGGUACUCGGUAGGAAGGGGUAAAAUCCUUUGAUCUAUCGAUGACCACCUGUGGCGAAGGCGGUCUACCAGAACACGUUCGACGGUGAGGGAUGAAAGCUGGGGGAGCAAACCGGAUUAGAAACCCGAGUAGUCC